GCUGUUGUUCCGCCUGGCCUCCGUUGCCGUCUUCCCGCAGAAGAAAAAAAAAUCACUCACGGACUGCCUAUCUCUCCCGGGAGCACCGGUCGAUGCCUCGUUUCACCAUAUGUCUGAGCCCAGCUGCCAAUCAACAGGUCAACGCGACCCCGGGGAGGCAAAGGCGGAAUGGGGGAAGAGAUCAAACAGUGCACCACUGGGUUGACAGAUGCAGAUGAAAAGAAAGGAUUUAAAACAUUACUACAGAGAUGGAAAUGGGGGGAUUGGUAACGGUGCACUCCCAGGCAAAUUAUUGCUUGGAGUAAUGUGUAGAAUAGCGCAUGAUGAUCGAUUCACUAUUAUGGGUCCUUUGACGGUGCUGCAGUGGCCUUUGUCCCCCAAAACUCGCGCUAUUCUACAACGGGGGGUUCCUUCCUUUGUAGAAAUGAUGUCAUUGUACAAGUUCACUUCCUCCACAGAUCUGCCCUCAGAUGUUUAUGAAGGUAACAAUGAAAGGAAGGACAAGAGGAGACGAUGAAAGGAGAACAGAAGGAUCUCCAAACGAACUGCAUUCUCGCUGAUUUAAAAACCCGAGAGAAGAGGCUCGAUGUGUGAUAAUUACUGAAGCGGGUUCUGUGACUGGAGGGAGCCCUGCCGUUUAAUAGGGAAUCUGUUCACAGCAACACAAGAUGGCCGAGUUAAGACAGAGCCUAUUUUACAGCGUCAAUAAAUAAGAGUCUGUUUACCGUGGUGAACCUGGACAAUGAUGGUGAUUAAGCUCAUGUUGGAAUUUCACUUGACUUUCAGACCUGUAAUGGUUCCCUGCAUUAAAAUGUAUUAAUCUGUCCCGCUAACACUUCCGAGCAAACCAAUUCCCCCCGCGCGCCAAUUGACCUGAAGUGAAGAGGGCUUCAGCUCCUCGGUAAUGAAGGUUGCGAUUAGCGGCACGUCAUUAAAAGUGCGCAGUUUCGGCGACACUGAAACCGCCACGUGGUCUUGGAUCAGCUCGCCUGAGAGAAAAAAAGAUGCUAACUUGACAGCGCGCACCAACAGCGCGGUUGAUUCGCACUGGAAUGUUGAGCGCAACCGAAUCAGGAACAGAAUGCUUCGACCGUCUUCGCGGCUAGGCUAAUCUUCUUAGCUCACUCUCUGCUAAUCUUGGCCCUCUUUCCCUCUACCUAUCCUAUUAGAGUAAAAAAGAUGAAGUACAAACCCUGACUUACCUCUUUCAUCCGUUUCCUUGAUUCUACUGUGCGGCGUGUCGUUCAGGUCUUAACACCCUGACCUGAAUUCACGAUACACUGAGACAAACUGGUCUGCGUUGUUGAAAGAUAAUCCUCCUGAUUGUUACCUGAUGUGGGCUAGUAAUUUAUUGAAAUGUGGUUAUAAAUGAUGAACAUUCAAUACAUUUUUUUGUAACCUUUAAAUAUGUUUAAAUACGUUUUGAAGCAAUAAUGGUAAAUAUUUAACAUAAUUAAAAUAUAAGUAAUUCUGUAAAUAUGUAAUUUCCUGCCAUGUACUGUAUCAUCAUAUUAGGCUGUUAGGCAAGGAGGGGGUUUCCCAGGUGUUGUGCUAUUGAUGUUAUAUCUUUUCUUGAUGUACAUAAAAAUGAAAUGGAAAUAAGUAUUUAAUUGGAUUAGGAUUAGAUUAACUGUAGAAACCCUGGAAUAUGAAUCUGAAACCACACUUUCUAUGGUGAAUUAGUGUCACAAAGAAAAUCAAUCUACCCCCCACCCCCCUCCCCUCAGUUUUUAAGAUGUGUCCAGUAAUUUCUGUCCAGAAAAAUAUUGUCUCCUUCAUAAAACUGGUUUUGGAUAUUUAUUACUUGGCAGAAGCUUGGAUACACAACCAAGAUUGUGGUCUUCAUUACCACAAAGUCUAAAAGAAAUUACUGCAGUA